rnacentral:rRNA from 1 species
AGUGAACGCUGGCGGUAGGCCUAACACAUGCAAGUCGAACGGCAGCACAGUAAGAGCUUGCUCUUACGGGUGGCGAGUGGCGGACGGGUGAGGAAUACAUCGGAAUCUACUUUUUCGUGGGGGAUAACGUAGGGAAACUUACGCUAAUACCGCAUACGACCUACGGGUGAAAGCAGGGGAUCUUCGGACCUUGCGCGAUUGGAUGAGCCGAUGUCCAAUUAGCUAGUUGGCGGGGUAAAGGCCCACCAAGGCGACGAUCCGUAGCUGGUCUGAGGGGAUGAUCAGCCACUCUGGAACUGAGACACGGUCCAGACUCCUACGGGAGGCAGCAGUGGGGAAGAUUGGAAACUGGGCGAAAGCCUGAUCCAGCCAUACCGCGUUGGUGAAGAAGGCCUUCGGGUUGUAAAGCCCUUUUGUUGGGAAAGAAAAGCAGCAGGUUAAUACCCCGCUGUUCUGACGGUACCCAAAGAAUAAGCACCGGCUAACUUCGU